rnacentral:lncRNA from 1 species
UUCUUCAUAUAUUAUUUAAAAAAAAAAAUUUUCAAGUACUUCAUGCUGAGUAAUCGGGCCUCUUUACCUAAGCAAACAUUGAGUUUUGCAUCAAAAAAUAUGAAGGGCAAAGAAGCUUUGUUAUAAUGUUAGUUUUAACUUGUAGCCUGUUUGAUUUGAGCAAGUAGGUCUGAGGAAUAUUUUAUACCUAGUGCCCUAAAGCCAUC